UGAGGAAUAUUGGUCAAUGGGCGCGAGCCUGAACCAGCCAAGUAGCGUGCAGGAUGACGGCCCUAUGGGUUGUAAACUGCUUUUGUAUGGGGAUAAAGUCAAUCACGUGUGAUUGUUUGCAGGUACCAUACGAAUAAGGACCGGCUAAUUCCGUGCCAGCAGCCGCGGUAAUACGGAAGGUCCGGGCGUUAUCCGGAUUUAUUGGGUUUAAAGGGAGCGUAGGCCGGAGAUUAAGUGUGUUGUGAAAUGUAGACGCUCAACGUCUGACUUGCAGCGCAUACUGGUUUCCUUGAGUACGCACAACGUUGGCGGAAUUCGUCGUGUAGCGGUGAAAUGCUUAGAUAUGACGAAGAACUCCGAUUGCGAAGGCAGCUGACGGGAGCGCAACUGACGCUUAAGCUCGAAGGUGCGGGUAUCGAACAGGAUUAGAUGCCCUGGUAGUCCGCACAGUAAACGAUGGAUGCCCGCUGUUGGUACCUGGUAUCAGCGGCUAAGCGAAAGCAUUAAGCAUCCCACCUGGGGAGUACGCCGGCAACGGUG
rnacentral:rRNA from 1 species